UACGUAGGGACCGAGCGUUGUCCGGAAUCAUUGGGCGUAAAGAGCGUGUAGGCGGCUUGUUAAGUCUGGCGUGAAAUCUCGGGGCUCAACCCCGAGCGGUCGUGAGAAACUGGCAGGCUAGAGUGCGGGAGAGGAGAGUGGAAUUCCUGGUGUAGCGGUGAAAUGCGCAGAUAUCAGGAAGAACACCCGUGGCGAAGGCGGCUCUCUGGAACGCAACUGACGCUGAGACGCGAAAGCGUGGGGAGCAAACAGG
rnacentral:rRNA from 1 species